UACGGGGGGGGCAAGCGUUGUUCGGAAUUACUGGGCGUAAAGGGCUCGUAGGUGGCCAACUAAGUCAGACGUGAAAUCCCCAGGCUCAACUUGGGAACUGCGUCUGAUACUGGAUGGCUUGAGUUCGGGAGAGGGAUUCGGAAUUCCAGGUGUAGCGGUGAAAUGCGCAGAUAUCAGGAGGAACACCGGUGGCGAAGGCGGGUCUCUGGGCCGAUACUGACGCUGAGGAGCGAAAGCGUGGGGAGCGAACAGG
rnacentral:rRNA from 1 species